rnacentral:rRNA from 1 species
UACGAAGGGUGCAAGCGUUAAUCGGAAUUACUGGGCGUAAAGGGUGCGUAGGCGGUUCGUUAAGUCUGUCGUGAAAUCCCCGGGCUCAACCUGGGAAUGGCGAUGGAUACUGGCGAGCUAGAGUGUGUCAGAGGAUGGUGGAAUUCCCGGUGUAGCGGUGAAAUGCGUAGAGAUCGGGAGGAACAUCAGUGGCGAAGGCGGCCAUCUGGGACAACACUGACGCUGAGGCGCGAAAGCUAGGGUAGCAAACGGG